rnacentral:tRNA from 2 species
CCUUCGAUAGCUCAGUUGGUAGAGCGGUGGACUGUAGAGAGUGUGCCUGACAUUGCAUGAUAGAGAAAUCCAUAGGUCGCUGGUUCAAAUCCGGCUCGAAGGA